UACGUAGGGGGCGAGCGUUGUCCGGAAUUAUUGGGCGUAAAGCGCUUGUAGGCGGCCUGUCAAGUCGCGUGUGAAAUCCCCUGGCUUAACCAGGGAAGUGCGCGCGAAACUGGCGGGCUUGAGUGCCGGAGAGGGUCGCGGAAUUCCCGGUGUAGAGGUGAAAUUCGUAGAUAUCGGGAGGAACACCAGUGGCGAAGGCGGCGACCUGGACGGACACUGACGCUGAGACGCGAAAGCGUGGGGAGCAAACAGG
rnacentral:rRNA from 1 species